rnacentral:rRNA from 1 species
CACAAGCGGUGGAGCAUGUGGUUAAUUCGAAGCAACGCGAAGAACCUUACCAGGUCUUGACAUCCCGAUGCUAUUUCUAGAGAUAGAAAGUUACUUCGGUACAUCGGUGACAGGUGGUGCAUGGUUGUCGUCAGCUCGUGUCGUGAGAUGUUGGGUUAAGUCCCGCAACGAGCGCAACCCCUAUUGUUAGUUGCCAUCAUUCAGUUGGGCACUCUAGCGAGACUGCCGGUAAUAAACCGGAGGAAGGUGGGGAUGACGUCAAAUCAUCAUGCCCCUUAUGACCUGGGCUACACACGUGCUACAAUGGUUGGUACAACGAGUUGCGAGUCGGUGACGGCGAGCUAAUCUCUUAAAGCCAAUCUCAGUUCGGAUUGUAGGCUGCAACUCGCCUACAUGAAGUCGGAAUCGCUAGUAAUCGCGGAUCAGCACGCCGCGGUGAAUACGUUCCCGGGCCUU